rnacentral:rRNA from 1 species
AGCUCCAAUAGCGUAUAUUAAAGUUGUUGCAGUUAAAAAGCUCGUAGUUGAAUUUCUGGCUUGAGCGACCGGUCUAAUCCUUUACGGGAUUAUGUACCAGAGUUGCAUCUAGCCAUCCUUGUGGAGAAAGUCUCUGGCCUUAGUUGUUCGGAUUCGGGAUCUGCAUCGUUUACUGUGAAAAAAUUAGAGUGUUUAAAGCAGGCAUUUGCUUGAAUACAUUAGCAUGGAAUAAUAAUAUAGGACUUUGGUGCUAUUUUGUUGGUUUGCGCGCCAUGGUAAUGAUUAAUAGGGAUAGUUGGGGGUAUUCAUAUUUAAUUGUCAGAGGUGAAAUUCUUGGAUUUAUGAAAGAUGAACUUAUGCGAAAGCAUUUACCAAGGAUGUUUUCAUUA